CUUCAUUUAUGGGGGCGAGACUGCGGACGGCUCAUUAAAUCAGUUAUGAUUCCCAAGAGCCGGCGAAACCUACUUGGAUAACUGUGGCAAUUCUAGAGCUAAUACAUGAAACUGAAGCUUCGCCUGCGCGUCGUUCGCGCGGCGUGCGGGAGGAGCGCACUUGUUAGCCUCAAACCAAUCCGUCGUUGCCCGCAAGGGGAGCGGCGGUCUCACUGGUGAACUCUGGACAACUUUGCCGAUCGCAGGGCCUUCGUGCCGGCGACACAUCUUUCAAGUGUCUGACCUAUCAACUAGAUGGUUUGCGCUCUGCGCACCAUGGUGACAACGGGUGACGGGGAAUCAGGGUUCGAUUCCGGAGAGGGAGCAUGAGAAACGGCUGCCACAUCCAAGGAAGGCAGCAGGCACGCAACUUACCCAAUGCCGAGACGGCGAGGUAGUGACGAAAAAUAACAAUACGGGACUCUCUUUACGAGGUCCCGCAAUUGAAAUGAGUACACUCUAAAUCCUUUAACGAGGAUCUAUU
rnacentral:rRNA from 1 species